rnacentral:tRNA from 1 species
GCAGCAGUGUAGCAUAGUGGUAAGGAGUAGGGCUCGUAACCGAAAGGUCACAGGUUCGAAUUCCUACUGGGGCA